GCGACCUCAGGUCAGGC
rnacentral:rRNA from 2 species